rnacentral:rRNA from 1 species
CAAUAGCGUAUAUUUAAGUUGCUGCAGUUAAAAAGCUCGUAGUUGGAUUUCGGAUGGGAUUUGCCGGUCCGCCGUUUCGGUGUGCACUGGCCAGUCCCAUCUUGUUGUCGGGGACUAGCUCCUGGGCUUCACUGUCCGGGACUAGGAGCUGACGAGGUUACUUUGAGUAAAUUAGAGUGUUCAAAGCAAGCCUACGCUCUGAAUACAUUAGCAUGGAAUAACAUGAUAGGACUCUGGCUUAUCUUGUUGGUCUGUGAGACCAGAGUAAUGAUUAAGAGGGACAGUCGGGGGCAUUCGUAUUUCAUUGUCAGAGGUGAAAUUCUUGGAUUUAUGAAAGACGAACUUCUGCGAAAGCAUUUGUCAAGGAUGUUUUCAUUAA